rnacentral:misc_RNA from 1 species
UGGUCUCUCUCUGUAGCUUCAUUUCCUAUUAUUGGGUAUUAUUGUCAUUGAAUUUUGAUUUGCUUAGCAAUUUCCAUUUAUGGAUUCUUAGAUCUCUGUUAUUUGAUCUGUUUUUUUUCAACGUUUUUUUCCUUUUUUCUUUCAAUUUCUGUAAUCAUCACUUUUUGAUUCAAACAUGAUCACUCAUAACCCAAUAGAGCAUUUUCCUGCACUUUCUCGGGAAAAUUGGAUUGCCUUCUCUCUCUUCUCUCAUUUCUAUUAAUACCCAUGAGUUAUUUUUGCAUCUUCAGAUCUACUCUCUUGGCUUUGUGCUUCUUAUUCAGGAUCUAGCUAAAAUUUUACGGCUUUAGAUCUGGUCGCGUUCUAUAUCAAAAUCUCUCUAAUUUUUUCUUUUCUAGAUUGAAUGUGUAUUGUCCAUUUUUAGUGGAGGGAGAAAAAAGAAUGAAUUAUUUCCCAGACGA